rnacentral:rRNA from 1 species
AGCGAGCGCUGGCGGCAGGCCUAACACAUGCAAGUCGAACGAACUCUUCGGAGUUAGUGGCGGACGGGUGAGUAACACGUGGGAACGUGCCUUUUGGUUCGGAAUAACUCAGGGAAACUUGUGCUAAUACCGAAUGUGCCCUUCGGGGGAAAGAUUUAUCGCCAUUAGAGCGGCCCGCGUCGGUUUAGCUAGUUGGUGAGGUAACGGCUCACCAAGGCGACGAUCAGUAGCUGGUCUGAGAGGAUGACCAUCCACACUGGGACAGAGACACGGCCCAGACUCCUGCGAGAGGCAGCAGUGGGGAAUCUUGCGCAGUGAGCGAAAGGCUGACGCAGCCAUGCCGCGUGAAUGAUGAAGGUCUUAGGAUUGUAAAAUUCUUUCACCGGGGACGAUAAUGACGGUACCCGGAGAAGAAGCCCCGGCUAACUUCGU